GAAGGUUGGCAAUGGACGUUCCCCUCGCCAAUCGGGUCAGGUCCGGAAGGAAGCAGCCCCAACGAGUCCAGAGCGGGUCAUCUGUUCAGCCUUCCAC
rnacentral:SRP_RNA from 1 species